CCCCAACAACUCCGUUUAAUUGUUUUAGUGCUAUGCUUUUCUCUUAACCCCACGUCAUUUUAGUUAAUGCUUUGAGGUUUGAGUGAACAUCUAAAGAUUUUCUGCCUUCUUUCUAAUAUACCCCCUUUGGAGCAAUUAACAUUAGAGGCAAAAACUCGCACUGAUAUCAAUGGCAGUUCCCCAUCCCAAUGCUAAUUGUUGUGUGUGUGUUCUGAGGGGGGCUUUUAAUGCCUCAGAAAGGAUUAUUGUAGACUUGGAAAACGUUCAGAAAAAAGGCUACCAAGAUGAUCAAGGGGAUGGAGCCUGAUGAGGAACGGUUGCAGUGUUUGGGACUUUUUAGUUUAGGAAAAGGGCGAGCAAGAUGUGGUGCAUAAUGGAGAAAGUGGAUAGAAACAUGUUCUUCUCCCUCUCUCAUAACACUAGAAAUUGUGACACCCCAUGAUGCUGAAUUUUGGAAGAUUCAGCACAGAUAAAGCAAAGGGCAUGGUUAAACUAUGGAACUCACUCUCACAGGUGGGAAAAAAACAAAACAAAAAAGGGUUUUGCCCACUUGUUGAACCUGGCCUGUGAGGGUUGAGGAGAUUACAAUCUGCCUCACCAGGCUAGAAAAGUUCCCUACCCCUAUUCUACAGCUUGUUUCAUGAGGGAUAAACAACCUGUCUAGAAUCAAUUGCAUGGUUUUUCCAAGCAGGCCCAGCCCUACCACUGGCAGAGUGAAAUGGCAGCCUCAGGAAGCACAUAGUUGCUUAUUAUUAUUUUUACUCCUAAGUGGAUGUGUUUCUUGGGAUUUUCUACCUCAGAUACCAAAAUACAUUGACCAGUUUUGAGUACUAAGCAAUCUGCCUGUGGGAAGGCACCAAUUGGGGAAGCCUGGGAAGUUUCCUGAAGCAUCGUAUAACUCAAGAGAAUACUAGGCGGAUCUCUCUCUCUCCUGAGAGGAAUCCUGACACAGAGGGUUUUUUAUUUUUAUUUUUUUUGAUGGAAUACUUCAACUCCCUCCUUUUUUCUGACUAUGAUUAAAUAUUGAAGGGGUAUGGGAAAUUCAACCAUUAAAGAAGCUGAUGGAUGUGCAAAAAUAAUAAUCCAUAAUCUGACAUUUUGCCAACAUUUUAAAUGUUGCGUCUAAAAUUAUGUCUCUGUGCUUGCCAUAUGAGGUCAGGCACUGUAAAUUGACAUCAGUGUGGGACCUGGAGAAAUAUAAAUAGGCAUAGACUAUUCUUAUUAUUAACAGCUCCAUCAGAGCUGGCCCAACCAUGAGGCAAAGUGAGGUGUACUGCCACAGAUGCUAAGCUCCCCUGGCCCCAGGACAGAGCUGUUAGGGAGUCAUUCUGCAAAGAAACAAUUCGAAAGUUCCUAGAAGGUUCCAGAGUUUUUCCUUCAAGUUUGGGAGUGGCACUCUGAGUUUAAUUAGUGUCAGCUGGAAGUGCUAAUAAAAAGAAGACCACUCGGCUUCGUUUUUGCAGAUGCCGGAUAGCAAACGUCUGACCGAAGAGCGCUGCCCUUCGUCAUUGUUCACCACUUCCGCGAGAGAGGAAGAAAGAAAAGCUCUGCUAAACAGUUUAGAAAGAGGUUUACCCUAACCACCAGUAUUAGCGCAGCGAAAGUGUGUGGACGGUAACCUCUAAUAAGAGCAACAAGAUCUCUCUCCUGGGCCCCCAAUCUGUUUGCAGUGGAGGGUGCUAUCCUGUCGCAACUCCCACUUCAGUCAGCUUCUGUACAUGGCAGCCAUCUUGUCUUUCACCUUAGGGCACAAAAUGUCUUGGGCAGGCCCUGAGCUCCAUCAAUGUACAUGGUGGUCAAAAAAGAUUGGGAGUGAGGUCGGCCGAUGCCUGAAUCAACCGAAGGAGAGAUGUUCCUGCCUGGGCCUCUCCUGCAUUAAACUCUCUUCCCCCAAAUAUGCCCGCAUGCGGUUGGCUGCCACGAUUGGACACAUCCACGCCCUUCUGUUCUAAAAAGGAGAGAUGCAAAGUACUUCUUUCUGUGAGCGAUUGUGGUGGUGGCUAAUGUAGGUGCCUACCCCCCCAUUGAUAGGAAUGGCUUAUGGGGAGGAGGCAUGCCCACAGCAUUUUGUUUUUCUGUCUCUUUUUCAGCUCUUUUAGGUAUGGUGGCCAUUUUGUCACACCCCAUGGCAGCCAUUUUGUGACUGGCACCCACAACACUUUCUCAAAAUGCGCCCACUGGCUCAAAAAGUUUGGGAACCCCUGAUAUAUAGUCUCAGUGACAACUGCAACAAGUUGAGGAGAGAGGCAUACAUCGAAACAUGGUAAACAUCAGUCCGGUAGCUACAAUUAGUCACAACCCUUCUGCGAAUAAUUACAAUGUGCUUUCAGGUAUGCGUUUCCUUUUCUACAGGUGGUGGAAUUCACCACAGAGACACAUGAUGAAUAAACAAGAACUUGUCUUUCCCUGUAAUGUCAGAAGAGGCCCUGAGCCAAAUAGUUUUUUUGGGUGUGUGAUAGAUGAAAUCUCACAGGCCUUAAGGAAAGCAAUGAAGUGGGCAAGCGUUUUUUCUCUCUUCUUCUUCUUCCGUGCAACUCAUCUUCUUGACAAUAACAACAAAGAAAACACUUGUUCGUCUCUCUCCAGCCCCAAAUUUUCUAAAAGCAAAGCACUCCAGAGCUAAGUCAUUGCAAGUGUUUGCAUUGAGCAACGAACAAAGCCCGGCUCCUUCAAGAGAUGUGGAUGAUUGGUAAACAACUUGGCCACUCCAUGCGUGACUUCGCCGCUCAUCUUUCCUUCUCCUUGUUCCCAUCAGGGAAGUAGCAUCUCCACCCUGAACUUUUAUUUUCUAGUCUGAAUGACAUUAAACUUACUUUACUUGAAGAAUUUUCUCUCCGUAACAUGACUCUACUUUCUAGGAAGACCUUUCAGUCAGAAAGCACAGGAGAAGAGCUACGGGGUCCGGGGUUUUUGCAAAUGUCGUCAAUAGAAAAUGGCCGAGUAAAAUAUACAGUGGUACCUCGGGAUGCGAAUGGGAUCUGUUCAGAGCCCCGUUCACAUCCAGAAGCAAAAGUAACUAGCAAUGGCACGUCUGCGCACGCACACGUCGCUUUUUGCCGCUUCUGUGCAUGUGCGCGAUGUCAUUUUGAGCGUCUGCGCAUGCGCGAUUGGCAAAACCUGGAAGUAACGUGCUUCGUUACUUCCAGGUUGCCGUGGAGCGCAACUCGAAUGCACUCAACAUGAAGCAUAUUCAACCCAAGGUAUGACUGUAUGGUCUUUCAAUGUUUGCUGUGCUAUUUUGCUUACUAGGCAUUAGCAUGGACAGGCAGACGUUCUUCUAAAUGGAAUUGGGGGUGAUGGCAGGCACUUUUGGGCAGUGCCAGCCUUGAAAUGGAGGGAGGGUGACUGUGGUCACACCAUGCAUGAAGAGCACUGUUAUACCACUUUAACAACCUUGGCUUCCCCCAGCGAAUCCUGGCAAUGGUUAUUUUUAAAGGGUGUUGGGACCUGUGGCUCUAACAACAGUUUUCUUCUGAGAAAUUUCAUCCCUGCUAUUAAUGCUGGAUGAAAUUAUAUUGGUUAGUUCAAACUGAUAGCUGCAGGAAGCAAUUGGGUAAGAGAAGAAGGCUGGAAGAUGUCCACUGUUUCUUUGCAAAGGAGGAAAAUAGGGAGGGACCCAGGACACAGAACCAGAACCUCUCAGCAGAGAAACAAUUGUGGCAGCAGAGACACCCCCCCUUCUGAUCCAAAGUAAGACACUGUUCAGUUCAGUUAGAUGUUAAGCAUGCAUGGUAUAUUUGCAAGGGAAGAGGGAGGACAGAAAAGGAGAACAACUUGGCCACUCCCCCUAUGACCUCUCAUUGGCCACACUUCUGUGACCUCAGUGCAGCCCCACCAAGUUACCAUAUUUUUCGGUGUAUAAGCCGAUGCUUUUUUAUUAUAAAAUAAUAUUUUAAUUUUUGGGUCGUCUUAGGCACGGAUAGUGCAGAGGGGGGGGACGGGUGAUUGAUUGCAGUCGCAAACAUUAGAUUGUCAGCGGCGAUUGGGCAGGUGAUUGGUGGCUGCGGCAAAGGCUGUUGUUGAUUGGCUGUCGCUGUGGCAAUUGAUUGGCAAGUUGAUUGGCUAUUGCUUUCGGCAACCCCCCCCAAAAAAGCUCAACAACUCUGGGCAAUCUCCUCCCAUUUUCUAAAUUUGUAGUCCCCCAAAAUAGGGGUCAUCUUAUACACGGUAAAUGUUGAGAACAAUGGCAGCAAAGAAACAGUAAGGUGAAAGUAGGAUAAAAAGAAAAUGUUCCAAUUUCUGAUAGCUCAGUUGGUUAGAGCAUGGUGCUGAUUACACCAGGGUUGCAGGUUUGAUCACCCUAUAGGACAGCUGCAUAUUCCUGCAUUGUAGGGGAUUGGACUAGAUCAGAGGUUGUCAAACUAAGGCCCGCGGGCCAGAUACGGCCUACUGCGCUCAUUAAUUCGGCCCGCGAACCUUGCGGACCCUGCCGCCCGCUCAGUCCCCAUGCUAAACAGGCGCGGCAAUUGACUGCUGCGACGCAGCCAAUCAAAAGCUGUGCAUGCCUCUGGGCGGGCAGCGACGCUGGAAGCUCCUGCAGCCAAUCAGAAGCGGCGGAUGCCUCUGGGCGCUGCCCCUUCCUUCCCGCUGAGGCGGCCGAGCAGGAGGAAGCCAGCUGGAAAUGUAAAGAAACUGAAGGUACAUUCUUCCACCUUUGGUGGACGUGCCCAAGGAUUAAGGCUUUCUGGGAGAUGAUUUAUAAUGAAAUGAAAAGGGUAUUUAAAUAUACCUUUCUGAAGAAACCAGAGGCCUUUCUCCUGGGCAUGGUCGGCCAAAUGGUGCUAAAGAAGGACAGAACUUUUUUUAUGUAUGCCACAACAGCAGCAAGAAUACUUAUUGCAAAGUAUUGGAAGACACAAGAACUACCCACUCUGGAAGAAUGGCAGAUGAAGGUGAUGGACUACAUGGAAUUGGCGGAAAUGACUGGCAGAAUCUGAGACCAGGGAGAAGAGUCGGUGGAAGAAGAUUGGAAGAAAUUUAAAGACUAUUUACAGAAAUAUUGCAAAAUUAAUGAAUGUUAGAAGGAUGUCAGAAUGAAGUUAAGUGGUUUAAGCAGCAAUGUUAUAAAGGUGUAUGUAAAAAUGGAUUGUUAACAGGUGAGAAUCCAAAGUUAUAAUAUAUUAUGUUAAAGGACUAAGAUAAAAACAAAGAGGGAAAGAAAUUGCUGAAUUAACUACCGUAUUUUUUGCUCCAUAAGACUCACUUUUUCCCUCCUAAAAAGUAAGGGGAAAUGUGUGUGCGUCUUAUGGAGCGAAUGCAGGCUGCACAGCUAUCCCAGAAGCCAGAACAGCAAGAGGGAUUGCUGUUUUCACUGCGCAGCGAUCCCUCUUGCUGUUCUGGCUUCUGAGAUUCAGAAUAUUUUUUCUUGUUUUCCUCCUCCAAAAACUAGGUGCGUCUUGUGGUCUGGUGCGUCUUAUAGAGCGAAAAAUACGGUAACUGAAUUGGAAUACAAAAAAGGGAGGCGUGAGGAGGUCAGGGAAACAAGGAAAUGAAUGUAAGGUAUGGAAAGACUGAUGUAUUUUUUUAAAGUGUUUUUUAUCUUUUUUUGUAUUUUGUAUUUUUUCUUUUAUUUUUUCUUUUGUCUUUCUUUUUCUUCUUUUUUUAAUUUAUGUAAUUCUUUUCUUUGAAACCUUAAUAAAUAUCAUUAAAAAAAAAUAAAUGGAGGAAGCCAGCGGCAUGGGCUCUGUGCCCCCUCAAGACAGAGGACGCCGAAGCUGCCGAAGAUGAGGCAGCAAUUGUGGCAUGUGUGGCAUAGGCGGGGGGCCCUUUCGGGAGGGGGGUUGCUUUCGGGAGGCGGUGGGUCCGGCCCCUCCUGAAAAUGUUUGCUGACCCCGGGACUAGAUGAUCCUCAGGGUCCUUUCCAACUCUACAAUUCUGUGAUUCUAAUCUGCCUCCCUGUUUCUUUCCUCCUAAGAACGUAAGAGACUGGCUGCUGGAUCAGAGCAAUGCACACAUAGUCCAGCAUCCGGUUAUCGUAUUGGCCAACCGGAUGCCCAAGGGAACCUGCAAGCAAGAUCUGAGAACAGCGCUCUCCCCAUUGUGAAUACCAAGGUGGUAUUCAGAAGCAUUGCUUCCUCCGGUGAUGGGGAGAGAAUGCAGCCGUCUUGGCUAGUAGCGCCGAUAGUCUUCUCUUCCACAAGCUAGCCUAAUCUUUCCACAUGCACCCCAGAUUGGCUCAAAGGCACCAGGAAACCCCC